UACAGAGGGUGCGAGCGUUGUCCGGAAUCACUGGGCGUAAAGGGCGCGUAGGCGGCCCUUAAGCUGAGGUCGGUGAAAGCCCGGGGCUCAACCCCGGGUCGGCCGUGCGGACUGGGGGGCUGGAGCCGAUCAGAGGCAGGCGGAAUUCCGGGUGUAGCGGUGGAAUGCGUAGAGAUCCGGAAGAACACCGGUGGCGAAGGCGGCCUGCUGGGGUCGAGGCUCUUCGGAGCCUGAGCUGACGCUGAGGCGCGACAGCGUGGGGAGCAAACAGG
rnacentral:rRNA from 1 species